UGCUCUUUCUCUCUCUUAUUUGCAGAGAGUUUUUCUUCGGAAAAAAAACCGAAUCAAACCCAAGUUUUUUCUCAGAAUCAAAACCCAGAGAUCUCUUUAACUUUACUAACCAUAUGAAAAAACCUUUCAUUCAGCAAUCAAAACCCACAAAUCUCGAUCUAUUUUCUAAAAAUCUGAAAAAAUUCCUAAACCUAGAAAAUCAAAUUUGUUCCUGAAAUCCAAAAUCAAUUCAUGUGAUAGUUGAUUGCUUUGCUGAUCAUCAUCAGUGUCUACUGUUAUUAUCUUACGACGUCACACCAAAAUAUGUCCGACUCUUCUUUAGUAAAACCGAAACGUCCCCUCGAACUUGACAUUGGUUUCGAGCCUGUGGAAGAUUAUGCUUGCAAAUUCUCUACUAGGGCAGGAGAUCUAAUCAGAAGUCAUGUUCCAGAUAACUUCGCUAAGUGGAGGACCGUGCCGGAUUAUUUCAAAGAUGAUGUUUGGGCAGCUUUGAUGGACCAAAGCCAGUAGAGCUUUGGACUGGGAAACAGCUAUUCAGCGUUCUAAUUCACCCUCAUGCUCAGAUGAGGGUCUAUAUGAAUCUUACUGUUGCGAAGAAAUCUUACAAGCAGAGCAAAGAAACAUCAUGCUCUAAAGAAGGACUUGUCUAUAUUUAGAAGAGUGAACUCAUUUGUGGGAAAGUUGGUAAAACUACUUUAGUGCUCACUGGAUUGGGAACCAUGGGUUCUUGAUUGGUAUUAAUGAUAUACAACCUGGAAAGUUUCUAAGUAAAGACAUACAAGAUAGGAUCAAAAAGGAAAAACAAAUAAAUGAUGCACUUGUUCAGGUUGUGAAAAAAAUGGGACACUUCAAAUUCAACCAGGUCGUGAUCUGCUCAAACAUUGGAAUCUGAGCUAACUUAUCUUCUGAAUGGCUUUAGAGAGAAAACUUGAAAGGUUUGUAUGGGAACCGAAGAAUAAAACAAAAAUGUAAGCGAAAAAAGUAAAACUACAUUGGUGAACAGCCCUCUGAUUAUGUUGCAGUGCGGAUCCAAAGCGUCCCCCGAUAAUAUCAGUCAGAUCAUUGCAUGUGUUUAGUCAUCAAUUAGUUGGGGGUUGCCCUGUAUUUUUAUUAAAAACUGUAUGUAAAGUAGGAUCUGCCUCUCUUUUUUAAUGUGGUUUUGAUCCCGGUCUCAUUUUUUUUUGUUGCUGGUGUAGGAUAUUGCUUUUGCUGAAUUGAAUCCUACUCACCCAAUAAGGGUUGGACUUGCUCUUAACUUCUCAGUGUUCUCUACUAUGAAAUCCUGAAUUCACCAGAUCAUGAUUGCACUCUAGCUAAGCAGAUGUACGCAGUCGAUGAUGGAAUGCAAUUGCAGGUCAUGUUUCCAUAUAAGGUGCCAAUAGUACCCUCAGGUUCUGUGUUAUCUACCAUUAACACAUUGAAUUUUACCCAAAGACAAACAUUGUUUACUAAGAUUGAUAUUAACGCUCUUCUACCAUUGGUACUUCUCAUUAUACAAAAUAUGUAAACAACUGAAGGUAUUCUUAUGAACUAACUUUUAUAUUACCAAAUUCAGAAACUUGGAUUCUUGACAAAAGUUGGUAUUUAUCU